rnacentral:lncRNA from 1 species
UGGAUUAAGUGGGAUUAUCUUGGAUUCCGUGGGUCCAGGGAGGGAUUAAGAGGGAUUCUAUGGGUCUGGGAUUGGAUUAAAUGGGAUUAAGAGGGAUUAUCUUGGAUUGCAUGGCUCUGGGAUGGGAUUAAGUGGGAUUAAGCAGGAUUAUCUUGCAUUCUGUUGGUCUGGGGUGGGAUUCUAUGGGUCUGGGGUAGGAUUAACUGGGAUUAAUCUGGAUUCCGUGGGCCUGUCAUGGGAUUAAGUGGGAUUGUCUUGGAUUCCGUGGGUCCUGGGCGGGAUUCUAUAGGUCUGGGGUGGGAUUAAGUGGGAUUAAUCUGGAUUCUGGGAGUCUGGGGUGGGAUUAAGUGGGAUUAUUUUGGAUUCUGGGGGUCUGGGGUGGGAUUAAGAGGGAUUAAGUGGGAUCAAGUUGGAUUUCAUGGUUCUGGUAUUGGAUUAACUGGGAUUAUCUUGGAUUCCGUGGGUCUGGGAUGGGGUUAAGUGGGAUUAUCUUGGAUUCUGUGGGUCUGGGAUGGGAUUAACUGGGAUUCUAUGGGUCUGGGAUUGGAUUAAGAGGGAUUAAGUGGGAUUAUCUUGGAUUCCAUUUGUCUGGGAUGGGAUUAAGUGGGAUUAUCUUGGAUUAUCUUCCAUUCCGCGGGCCUGGACUGGGCUUCUAUGGGUCUGGGAUGGGAUUAAGCGGGAUUAUCUUGGAUUCCGUGGGUCUGUUAUGGGAUUAUCUUGGAUUAUCUUGCCUUCUGUGGGUCUGGUGUGGGAUUGAAUGGGAUUAAGUGGGAUUAUCUUGGAUUAUCCUGCAUUCCGCGGGCCCGGGCUGGGAUUCGAUUGGUCUAGGGUGGGAUUAAGCGGGAUUAUUUUGGAUUUUGUGGGUCUGGGAUGGGAUUAAGUGGGAUUAUCUCACAUUCCACGGGUCCGGGCUGGGAUUCUAUGGGUCUGGGGUGGGAUUAAGUGGCAUUAUCUUGGAUUUUGCGGGUCUGGGAUGGGAUUAAGCGGGGUUAUCUUGGAUUCUGUGGGUCUGGGGUGGGAUUAAGUGGGAUUAUCUUGGAUUCUGUGGGUCUGGGGUGGGAUUA